AGCGAACGUUAGCGGCGCGCCUAACACAUGCAAGUCGCACGAGAAAGGGCUUCGGCCCCGGUAAAGUGGCGCACGGGUGAGUAACACGUGGGCAACCUGCCCAACCCUGGGGGAUAACCUGCCGAAAGGCGGGCUAAUACCGCGUACGAGGGCUCGACUUCGGUCGGGUUCUGAAAGCAGGCCUCUGUAUACAAGCGUGCGGGGUUGGAUGGGCCCGCGCUCCAUCAGCUAGUUGGUGAGGUAACGGCUCACCAAGGCUACGACGGAUAGCUGGUCUGAGAGGAUGAUCAGCCACACUGGAACUGAGACACGGUCCAGACUCCUACGGGAGGCAGCAGUGGGGAAUCUUGCGCAAUGGACGAAAGUCUGACGCAGCGACGCCGCGUGGGUGACGAAGGCCUUCGGGUUGUAAAGCCCUGUGGGGUGAGACGAACAGCUGGGAUUCGAAUAGGGCCUCGGUCUGACGGUAUCACCUUAGCAAGCACCGGCUAACUCUGUGCCAGCAGCCGCGGUAAUAC
rnacentral:rRNA from 1 species